rnacentral:rRNA from 1 species
GACGAACGCUGGCGGCGUGCUUAACACAUGCCAGUCGAACGAAGUGGCGAACGGGUGAGUAACGCGUACUCAACCUGCCCUUCAGAGGGGGACAACAGUUGGAAACGACUGCUAAUACCGCAUACUGAAGGAGGGGAUUGCGUCUGACUAGCUAGUUGGCGGGGUAACGGCCCACCAAGGCGAUGAUCAGUCGACGGUGUGAGAGUUUGAACGGCCACAUUGGGACUGAGACACGGCCCAGCCUCCUACGAGAGGAAGCAGUGGGGAAUCUUGCGCAAUGGACGAAAGUCUGACGGAGCAACGCGGCGUGAGUGAUGACGGCCUUCGGGUUGUAAAGCUCUGUUAAUCGGGACGCGGUACCGGAAUAGAAAGCAACGGCUGACUACGUGCCAGCAGCCGCGGUAAUUC